rnacentral:rRNA from 1 species
UACGUAGGGUGCGAGCGUUGUCCGGAAUUAUUGGGCGUAAAGGGCUCGUAGGCGGUUUGUCGCGUCGGGAGUGAAAACCUUGGGCUUAACUCAGGGCUUGCUUUCGAUACGGGCAGACUAGAGGUAUGCAGGGGAGAACGGAAUUCCUGGUGUAGCGGUGAAAUGCGCAGAUAUCAGGAGGAACACCGGUGGCGAAGGCGGUUCUCUGGGCAUGAUUUGACACUGAGGCACGAAAGCAUGGGGAGCAAACAGG